UACGAAGGGGGCUAGCGUUGUUCGGAUUUACUGGGCGUAAAGCGCACGUAGGCGGAUCGUUAAGUCAGGGGUGAAAUCCUGGAGCUCAACUCCAGAACUGCCUUUGAUACUGGCGAUCUCGAGUCCGGAAUAGGUGAGUGGAACUCCUAGUGUAGAGGUGGAAUUCGUAGAUAUUAGGAAGAACACCAGUGGCGAAGGCGGCUCACUGGUCCGGUACUGACGCUGAGGUGCGAAAGCAUGGGGAGCGAACAGG
rnacentral:rRNA from 1 species